AAGACAAGACAGGACGGGGCAGGACAGGACAGGACGCGGCGAGGGGAGGUGGCAGCCCGCAGCCGUGCUGGCUGGCUGGGUGGGUGCGGUCCGUCCGCCUCCCUCCCUCCUCCCAUCCGCGCUCUGACUCCAGGGAGCCACUGGAGCAGAAGCUUGGUUUGGGGGUGGUUUCGUGUCUAUCCAAGCAACAAGGCCCAGGUUGUUACUAGAGCGCCUGUCGCCGGCAAUGGUUGUUAAAAUUGUGGGUUGCGGCUAAAGAUACAUAGAUGCUAUCCCCGUCCAUGUCGAGCUGAAUAGCCAAAGCAAAAUGUCACUGGAGGUAUGGGUGUAAGCUCUGCUGCAGCAACCCCACCCUUUUUUUUGUGGAGUUUGUAUCUAAAGUGGGGUAGGUGGGUCAUUUGAGCUGUUUUUACUGUUAAAAGUUUUGCCAGUGGACAAAAAAUUAUUAUAAAGAGAAAUGGGUUGUAUUCAAUGCUUGUGGCCUUCUAUGUAUAUGUACUUUAUGUGGGUGAGUGCAAAGCUCAAGUUGAUUUUAAACAACAACUAUGGCCUAAAUUAAUAAAGCAGCCCAGAUGUUACACCCAUUAUUUGUGUAAUGCACACCAACUAACUGCAGCUCAAAGUUAACCUGUAGUGGAGCAGAACGUGGCAGGCUGGACUCUGUGCUUGGCAUAGUUUUCACUCCCUUAGUUCACACACGAUGUUUAAAGUGAAGAAAUUUAAGAAAUAAAGUUACUAAAAUAUACUGGGUUUGGGUUUAUUUACUCCUGAAUAUAACUUUUUUACAUCUGCAAGUUUAAUAUGAAGAUCUCUUUCUGUCCCUGAAAGGAAUAUAUACAUAUUUAUACAUGCACUCUUGCUUACUAUUGCAGUACAGUUUUAGAACAAUACUGGAUAUUACAGUUACUCUUUGCAGCUUGGUCUUCCUUUUGUUAAAGGUUUAUAAAGGUUUUUUAAACCCUUUUUUAAUUAAAGAUUUAUAGAACCUUUAUAUUGCAUCUACAUAGGAUGAUCCCCUUAUACUUUACAAGGAUUGAGGAAAAAGUCCUGGAUUGCCUUAUAUGGCCAUUUUUACUCUGAUCUAUGUCUUGUAAUUACAGCAUAUGCUCCAGGUCACAGCACUGGGUGCAAAGACAGAAGUCUACUGUUUGCAACCUCAGCUUUCCAUAAAAGUGGCCAAAUGCUCUUCCCAGUGCCCCUCUUGCAGUUUUAGGGAGAUUUUAAGAGUCUUUCCCCCUUUGCUCUUAACAUUGCAGACAAAUUUAGUGCUGAUAUUGGUGUUUAUUUUUCUAAGUAAACAGAGCAUAAUAUUGGGAGUUUCUUGCUUAGUUGGAAAUCCAUCCUUCUUAGUUACUUUUUUUGUUGGUAGAGUCCUCAUGAUUUCUCUCUGUCUGUCUAUCUCUUCUCCCCUUUCUAUCCCCCAAUUACAUUCAGUACAAUUCCAGUAUAGGAGUUCUUCAAAACUGUUCCCUUCAGAAGAGAUUUGAAUGCAACUCAUCCAGCCUUGCUGUUGCACAAGACUGUGAGUUAACUGUGUAUUUAAGUGGGUCUUGGAUUUGGUUUUUUAGAAAGAAAUAAUUAAAAAAAAAUAAAAAUCAAAGUUUUGUUGGGAGGUGGGACAAAUGCAUAGUUUGUUAACAUUUUAAUUACAAGAAGGUAAUUGAGUUAAUUGUUACUCAUAAAUGUGUAGUUAAAAGCAAAUCUUCUAGAAGAAAAAAUAAUUGAUUUUUAAUUCCUAUAAGCAAUAUUAUUUCCAAACAGUAUUAUAAGUGUUAGGUUUGGAUGUCUUUUUUUACCUUGAGGACAUGAACUUUUUGAAUUUGGAUUUAUCAGUGGAAACAAGUUGGAACUAUGCAGGAGAGGAGAAUGAGUCUUACUCUGAAAAAUACCUCCUUGGUACUGAUGAGGUUAUAGCUGGAUUUAGGUUUGAAGUCUUGUUCUAAAUUUUGUAUCCUUGAGGGUUUUUUCUUAGAUAUUUGCUGAAGGACUAGUUACUGUUUGGUUUUUUGUUUUUUUGUUUUCUUUCUGGAGCAGUUAAGUGGAUUUUCAAGUUGUCUUGGAAAAAAACCCACAAUAACUCAUCAGAAGAUGUUUCACAUUUUUCAGUAUCGGCCUUUAAGAGUAAUAACCCAAAACAGUCUUUCUAGCAUGUGCUUAAAACUGAUGCUUUCAAGACCUGUUGCAUUUGCACAGAUAUGGAAGUCAUGGUUCUCAAGUCAUUCUCUUCUUGGAAAGAAAAAUAUUAUCCUGAUGGGACCUCCAGGUGCUGGGAAAACAACAACUGGGAGAAUAGUAGGCCAGAAACUGGAUUGCCCUGUCAUAGACAUAGAUGACGAUGUCCUUGAAACAACCUGGAAUACGAGUGUGUCAGAAAAACUGCAGGACAUUGGUUGUGAGAAGUUUCUAGAGGAGGAAGGAAAAGCACUGUUGAAGUUCUCGGCAUCUGGAAGUGUAAUUUCCCUUAGUGGGUCCAAUCCAAUGCAUGCUGCUGGCAUGCAGCACAUAAAGAAAAAUGGAAUAGUUGUAUAUUUGGAUGUGCCCACAACAGUCAUUAUGAGCAGGCUGAAAUCAAAGGGAAUGGAUCGUGUCGUGGGCCUGUCUCCUGGUGUUUCUCUCAAAGACAUACUUCAGUUUAGGAAGCAGUUCUACAAAAGGUGGUUUGACAUCCGUGUUCUUUGUGGAGGGGAUGUUGCAGCAGAGGUGGUAGCAGAAAAGGUACUUGAUGCUGUGAAGAGAUACCAAGACUCAGAACUGGAAAGUUUCAUUUCAACAAGGUCUAGUAGGUCUGGAAGGAGUACGGAAGAAGACACUCAUAAAUUUUAUUUCAGUGAUGUUGUUACUCAGGGCUUAGCCCUUGAUGGAGGACUCUUUGUUCCUGAGAGAGGACUUCCAAAAUUCACUGCUGAAGAAUGGCAAGGUCUGAUAGAAGCAACUUACAUUGAAAGAGCCCAGGUGAUACUAGAAAGAUGCAUACAUCCAGCUGAUAUUCCUGCUUCUAAGCUGGCAGAAAUUAUUGAAACUGCUUAUGGAGAAAACUUUAGUUGUUCUAAAGUUGCCCCACUUAGGCAUCUGGCAGGCAAUCAGUUCCUUCUUGAGUUAUUUCAUGGACCAACAGCAUCAUUUAAAGAUUUUGCAUUACAGUUGAUGCCACAUUUAUUUGCCUACUGCAUACCCAGAAGCUGCAAUUACUUGAUCCUGGUAGCUACUUCUGGGGACACAGGGAGUGCUGUUCUAGAUGGCUUUAGUCGUCUCCAUGACACUGACAAACAGAGAAUUGCUCUGGUGAAUUUUUUUCCUGAGGAUGGAGUAAGCCCAAUUCAAAAAUCACAAAUGAUUGGCUGUCAGAAGGAAAAUGCUUGGUCAGUGGGUGUCAAAUCUGAUUUUGAUUUUUGCCAGACAGCUAUAAAGCAAAUCUUUACUAAUUCUGAUUUUACUGGCUUUCUUACAGUAGAAUAUGGAACAGCUUUAGCUGCAGCAAACUCCAUAAACUGGGCACGACUGCUUCCUCAGAUAGUUUAUCAUGCCUCUGCAUACCUUGAUCUUGUUCAUCAAGGUAUUAUUUCUUUUGGAAGCCCUGUAGAUAUUUGCAUUCCUACAGGAAACUUUGGCAACAUAUUAGCUGCUUUCUAUGCUAAAAUGAUGGGAAUUCCUAUUAGAAAAUGUAUUUGUGCUUCCAAUGAAAACAAUGUUUUGACUGACUUCAUAAGAACAGGUGCUUAUGAUUUGAGGGGAAGAAAAUUAAUUUCCAGUUUUUCACCAGCAGUAGAUAUUUUGAAGUCCUCCAAUCUUGAGCGAUACUUACACCUGAUUGCCAAUGGAGAUGGACAAUUGGUGACACAGUUAUUUAACCACCUGGAAAAUCAGGGCCACUUCCAGCUGCGGAAAGAUCUACUUGGAAAGCUUCAGCAGGACUUAGUGGCUGGCUGGUGCUCUGAUGAGGACUGUCUGGCUGCCAUUCACUCUGUGUACAGUACUACAGGAUAUAUUUUGGAUACACACACAGCUGUUGCUAAAGUAGUUGCAGAUCGAUUACAAGAUAGAACUUGCCCAAUUAUUAUUUCAUCUACAGCUCAUUAUUCUAAGUUUGCACCUGCUAUCUUGAAGGCCUUGAGGAUUUCAGAAAUAAAUCAGAAUCCAUUAAGUCAGCUUCACUUGCUGAGUUCUUACAGCGCUUUGCCUCCAAUCCACUGGGGCCUAUUAGAGACCCUGAAAAAGACUGGAAAUGGGGAUCACCAGGUCUGUGCUGCUGAUAUGAGUGUGCUGAUGUCCCAUAUAGAAACCUUAAUUCAAAAUCAUUUUAUGAAAGUUUUUUGAGCAACUGAUCCAAUGUCCACAAUUGCAAUGACUUCUUAACAAGCUGCAUGCUUUACUAAAGCCAUCAUUCAUCUGGCCUGUGUCCAGUCCACAGCGUAUCUCACAGUUUUAUAUUCAGUUGUCAAGCUUUCAACAGUAUUUGUAAGUAACAUGUGUGAGAUUUCUAGUGGUGGUGAAAGGUUGUGAAUUAAGAGUGUAAAAAACUGGAAUACCGUUUUGCAAGUCGUACACAGUGGAGAUGCCAGCACUGCUGGCUUUCCCUGGCAGUACUGUCUCCUUCACAAACCUAAAGCAUCCUCGACAGGAGGAGGCAGAUAAUGAAGUCUGACCUUUCUGCAACUAAUAACUCUUGUUUUGUUGCAACAAUGAUGUGAACCUUUGGUCAGUGUAUGUUUAAUUAAACUUUAAAUCAUUUCACUUAGGGCACUGAAACAUAAUAAGUUAAUGGUAUUCAUAUGUUACUAAUGUGGGUUGACUUCACUACAAAGAUUAAAGUAGCAUUGUAUUGUUAAUCCUUGAACCAUUGAUUUUUGUGAUAUAUUACCUUCUUGUGUAAUGUUUUUUAUCUAUUGUGUGGCCAGUGUCUAAGUAAAAAAAUCUGGUCAUUUUGUUUUUAACACCUUUUUCUCCCAAAUAUUUUCCUGUGUCAAAUAGAAUACCUAAUUCAAUAUUUUUAAUAUAUUUGAGGUGUGACUCUUCUUCCAGUGUCUUCUAGUCUCUUUCUCAGAUGUUUUUUAUUUCAACUUUCAACUUUGAAAUCCUUUUUUAAUACUAUAGAAGAAUCUGAUAGUGGUAACAUCUUCUUAAAUAAGAACCAAACUUCACAAUUUAUUUACAUAUAUUUUUUUGUAUUUUAUCUUUGAGAUCAUAUAGCUUUUCUUGUUCUAAUUACUUGUGUUUUCAUAUUUUUCUUAAGUUAAUUUCCUUGAUGUUCUAUUCUAUUCAUGCUUUGCAUGAAUUAGUAUAAAAAGAAGCUUCCCAAAUUGCUUGGCAUCUCAUCAAGGAAAGUGAAGGAUGAAUUCCAGAGUGAUAGCAUCAGAAGUGUUCAUUAUGUAAUCCAAAAUACAUCUGUGUGGUUUUGCUAAUGACAGGCUCUUUGCUGGUUUUUUUCUGAAGAAAAAAAUAGACUGGAUUGUCCUAGGAGAUCAUGUGGUUAUGGAGAAAUUGUUCUGCUAAUUGAUGAUUAUGUUUCACAAGGACAUAAGCUACAUUUCAUACUAUGAGAAACGGUAAAAUGAUGUAUUGAAAGCUUUGAGUGGCAUGCAGUUAAAGAGCUAGGAGUCUUCAGAUGUAAGGACAUAUAGCUAUGGGAAGUUGUGUUUCCCAUUAAGAUUCAAAUAAUCUGGUAACUGAUAACAGGUUUUUUUGCCUCUUCAAUAGGCAUAAUUUCCUACAUGACAAGAUUCACCUGGGGCUUUGAACUGCUGCCAUAUCCUUCAGCUUCCUCUGUGUGCCUGCUUGUACUUUUUGUCACACUAGAAGGGAAUCAUCUCACAAAUUAUAUUAAAGAAUUGUAAUUUUUUCCAGCAUAAGGUAAAAGUCCCAAGCAUGAUGUGUGUUUGCCACAGUGAACACAUAUGCAGUAUCAUUAAAUGUAGCUGAGAUCAUGGGUGUGACACAGUAGCUUUCUGGAUUCCCCCAUUCCUAGAUACUUUUUUGGACCUUCCUAGUUCUUUGCUCAAACCUCAUUCACUGUUUCUGCAGUAAAAUUGAAAAAUAACUUUUUGUUUUCAUGAAAUUGUGAACAGACCAGGUUGGAAGUGACCCAAAAACUUUCGUGACAAAGGGAGCCUAGAUGAGAUUAUCUAGCACCCUCUCCAGUUACGUAUUAAAAACUUCCCAGUGAUGGAGACUCUUUUGCUUCCCUGGGAAUAUUGUUCCAGUGAUUGAGCGUUCUCACUGUAAAAAUUUCUUUCUUAUACCAAAAUGAACCUUCUCCUGGUACAACUUCCCCCUUGUCAUCUCCAUAUGGCUCCUUGUGAAGAGGGAGCCUCCAAUCUCUUCCUAACCACCACUGAAGUGUUGGACAACUGUGCUGAAGUGCCCACUGAACCUCCUGUAGUAUGAAAAGAUCUAACUCAUUCAGUGUUCUCAUAGGGCAGGGGAAUUUUCACCAUUUUCCUAACACAACAUGGGAAAGACUGUGAUUAUGUAAUUUUAAAAACAUCCAAGUCCUGUAAGAAAAGAUUACAUAAGCAUAUUGCUAAGGAAGCAGCAUUGCUUGUAUUAGUGAUAAGUGAGCAUCCACCUUGUAUUUCUGUAUGCUUCAGUCUGAUUCUUACUGUAAUUCCAAGGGGGAAAAAAAGCUAAUGCUUUCUCUGGCUAUGCUUAGUAUAAAACCAGAAUUCUAAAUCUUGAAAAAAAAAAAACCAAAACCAAGCAAACCCAACUGUCUGGAUUGAAUUACUGGGAUAGGGUAUGGUUUCAGCAUAAGGACUCAGUGGAAAUCCUGCAGCACUUGGUUCCAUGGGGUUUAAUGCCAUUUGACAUCACAAGGCAGUUUGUCACACACUGUUACAAUACUUUAUAGAAAAAGCUUGUUUUUGUAGAAAGUACCUGAAAGGGAAGAGCUGAGAUUAGAUUAGCUGAGAUAAGAUUAGACUAGAAGCCAACAUCUUACCCUGAGAUAACUCAGUGUUAGAUAAACUGGUCAGAGCUAAACUAGCAGGGGAUUUAUUUUGGCACAACUGAAUUAUUUUAAAGUUCAUGGCAGUAACCCAUGCAUGGUUUAGAUUUCUAGUUGCUGCUUUCCUAUUACAUGAGCCAUUAUAGCAGUUGAUAUGAACCAAAUAAGUAAAAAAAAUGAGCAUUUGUACUUGGGUAAGGGGUUUCAACGUGGAUUUAUGGUGUCUAAGGGCAGUGCUUAAUGAGCACAUACAAUAUUAAUACAUUUCUCAGAAUGUCUAAAGGCUUUUCAAUAUAGUAUUUACUAAUUUUCAAAAAGAAUUAAUUUUUUAACUUUCAUUAACUUCAGUAAACUUAUUUUCCUGCACUACAUCUGCUUGUGGAUCCUACUAAUGAACACUAUAAAAUGCUGCAGUAGUGUUGUGAUCCUGGAUAUACACAGUAUUUGUGACCAAAUGAAAAAAAUUUCCAGCAUGCUCAGAAUAUGGGACUGUGGGUAAACAGGAUAGUGAGGGAAGCAAUCCCCCUUUCUUCCCAGUCCAGAUUUUCUUAGUGUCAGCGAUGUACUGUGGUUCAACAAAUACUUUACUACUGUUAGAGUCCUUUUUUUCCCCACUAUCAGUAUUAUGAAAGAUUAAGAAGGCAUUAAAGACUGGGCAUAAGUCCCUUUCUUUUUGGUCUUGUGUGUUCAGCAUGCAGACACUGUGCACACUGAAUGUAAAUACAUUAUUUUCUAUUCACUUCUUAAGGCAAAGUGGUGUGCCAGUGGUACAGAAAAACAAAUCUAUAUUGUGCUGCUUAGGAGGAUGCUUUAAGCCAUUUAGGUUUGCUGCAUACACAGUUUACUCCUAUUUGUCUAGCAGUAUGUUGCAGUAUCAAUCAAGAAAAACCAAGUUGACAGAGUGUGAGUGUGCAGAUCUACACAUUUCCACUCACUUUGUUGACCCAUAGUAAUAGUGUUGCUUUAGUUAAGCUGUUGUUCUUCUGUAUAGAUAAACCUUUGCUGAACACUUCCUACUACAUGAAAAACCUCAGGGACAACUUUAACAAAUAUAUACCAGGUGCUCAUUACUUGCCUUUAGACACAGCCCUUCUUCUCAGAGUGACAGAGAGUGACAUGAGGUCAAUGAUGAAUAGAACAUCAGAAGAUAAUUCUGUUUCCUUAGGAUUUUAUGAUAUAAAAAGAAUUGCUAUUUACAGUUUUGAGGUGAUGGAAUAUUUUAUCUGAUGGAACUCUACAGGGAAGAUUCUUGUUGUUCAAAAGACCAGCUUUGCUUUCAAAGACAUCAAGAACAGACAUUGCUAUUAAGUAUAUCAUGUUUGGCAUACCUGAAAUACACAUUACUCAUUUGUAUCCACUGUAUUUUUUUCUAAAUAAACACUGCAGGAUAUAUAUAGCACUAUAGCACUUUCUUUGCAAAUAUGUUUGUAAAUCCUUACCAAUCUUCUAUAAAGAAAAUACACUAAAAGAAGUGGUUUCUGAGUUGGAUAUUCUUAAGUCUUGAAAGAUGUGUUCCAUCCUGUGUUUCUUUGAAAGUUAGGGGUAUAGUUGGUGAUAAUCUAAUAGUUCACUUUGCUGAGACUAUGAUUUUAGUGAGAUAGUCUGCAUCAUUCUGAAAGGAAGUAUGUAUAUAAAAAAGGAAACAGAUGAAAAAUAGCAAAUGUCUAAACACUCUGUUUACAUUGUACCACAGGCUUGUCCAGUGCUGCAUGGAAAGCCUGUAUUGUGAGGAUUAGUAUGGAAAAGGAAAUGUGUGACAGUUUAACAUUUCUUAUUCAUGCUUAGUUCAGUGUAGAGAUGGGCUAGAUGUCUCUUAGCUGUUGUGGAGCAACUUUUGUACACUUCUAAUAUAAUUUCAGGAUCAUGGGCUUAAAAAUUGCUUGAAUGGUUGAAACAGCGAUGAGCAGUUAAUGUCAGUGAAUUAAUGUGAAUGGGCCAUUGAUUCUGAACAUGUAUUAGCAGCUUAAGGAGGAUUUAAAUGUCACUGUGUUUUUUCACAGCAGUUACAAAUGUGCUUAGCUUGCUUAUCUGACCUGGGAAGCUGUUGCUUCAGAUUUUUCAGAUUGUAGCAAUCUAAAAGACAACUGUCUUGGUCUUGCUCUCCAACUUGGCUAAAACUUCCGAUCUCUUAGACUGGACCAAGUUCUAAGCUGUUUGUUCAUUUUACUUGAGAAGAUUUUAUUUGCUGUCUGAUCUCCUUCUUGACACUAUUGGAAAAUUAUUCAGUAGAAUUAAGAUAGCACCUGAUUUACUUGUUUGUGUAUGAUACUAUAAAAUUUAACCAAGGGGAGCAUCCACAGUGUUUUCCCUGCACAACAGAGGAACAUAUUUUUCAUAAAAAGUGUAUAUCCACAAAAAAAUAUAUUCCACAAAAUCAGUUACAUAGCACAGGAAUUGUUACUCUAGCAUUUUAUUUAGGUAUUUUGUCACUGGUAUUUGGAAUAGACUUAGAUUUUCAAAUAGUUUCUUUUAUUUUAAAGAACUAUUGUUAUAGAAACAUGGACAGUAUCACCCCUAGAUUUAAAAUUCUUCAUGACAAUAAUUGUGUCAAAACUGUGGGAGGACUGAACAGAUUUUUUAUGUGGGUUCACACAGGAUUUGGCUCUUAACCAUGAGUUUAUUAAGAACAUAGGAGGAAAUAAAGUAAUGACUGUUCAAAUCUACAGAUGCUACAAAACUUAAAUACUAAUGAGCCACUUAAUCAGAGCAAGAUUAAUUGCUUAGUUAGGAGCUGUAAGCAAUUUGCAUUUCACACUGGCCUAGUGUAGUAGGCCUGUGUUUUUAGGAGCACAGUGUGAGAACACACACUUAGCAAGGUAAACAAUUUGUGGUAGGAAAUGCUGACUUUGAAUGGUGUCUGGAGAUGAUGUGCAUUCUCAACCAAGCAUGAAUUUUCAGCUUGCCUUGUGGCCAAAAGGACCAGUGAGAUCCAGAGGUUAGAAAUGGGAAUACUGCCAGGGAAGAAAUACUGCUGUCUGUAUUUGGCUUUGGCAUAACCUUUUGGAAGAAUAUUAUGCCGAAUUUCAGCAGUCACAAUUUUCAGUAAUGCUGGGAAGCUGGACAGAAAAGAGUCAUGAGAGCAAUAAAAGCAUUAAAAAGAAGUACUGGCAUGAGAGUCUCAAAAAACAGAAUCUGCUUAGUUUAGUGAAAGAAGAAUCAGCCUAGACAAACCAUCUUCAGAGAAAUAUUGAUAAUAAAGAACUGUUCCACCUAGCAGAGAAAGAGUGACCCAGCAAGUCUAAGCAGAAGUCAGACAUGUUACAAAAAGCAAUAAAGGUAUGUAACAGAACAGUAAAAGCAUCCCUAGUCUGGACAUAUUAGAUGAUUUCAUGAAAAAAUGUGAUUUGAUAGAAAGAAGACUAAUUCAGACAAGUCAGACCCAUGUUACACAAGAGGUCAAACUAAACAAUCACAAGUCAUGUUUGGCUGCCCCAGGAGUAACUUGCCUUUAAUAAAAGCACGAACAGCUUUUCACAGAGGUUUGAGAGAUAGAGUUUAUGAACUAAUUUCACUUCUGCUGUGGUGUGAUGAGUACACAGAGCAAGUUCUGCACUAAAUAGGCUACUGGAUAUGUUUAGCCUUGUUCUUUCUGUCUCUAGAGAAUUGCAAAUGGACUACUAAUGCAUACCCUGACUUGACUCAUGGCUAUUAGGAUAUGGCUCAUUAGUUUUAAAUUUCAUUAUACAAUACGCCUUGUGAUGGUUUGGGCUAUAUAUACUUUCAUUAUGAAAAUUAGGAGAACAGCACAGGAGGAAAGUGUCUGUGUAAAUGUCAGCUUUAUUGAAUGUGGCUAAUUAUUAUUUAUUUUCCCAAGCUUUUAAAAGUGAGAAAUCUUUUAAAAUUUAUUAGAUGCUUUUGCACCCUUUUUUUCUCUGCUUUUACAAGCAACUUGCAAUCCAAUGGCCAUUUUCAGUUCAUUUACAGCUCAUAAUAAGACUUAUAUGACAAACGGAAAAGCCAAUGUCUCCUUUUUAUAGUUAAACUUCAACUUUUAUAUACCAAUUAAAGCUUAGAGAAGGUAAAAUGUACUCAUAGGUUCUGCUCUAGCAACUUAUUUUGAUUAAAAUGUAUUUUUCUUUAUAUUUUAAACUGAUUCACUAAAUUAUAUCUAAAUUGAGUAGGCAUUUUUUCUAAGUAUCUGUGGCAAUCUGAUUCUGUUUAAAAUGAUAAUGAAUGCAUCCCAUCUCCUAAAGAAACCAGUCCUCCCUGCAUAAUUAAUUAGCAUUUUAUACAGAUGAGGAUGGGAAAGCCAUAUUCACAGUAGUUUUCUACCACAAAGGUUAAUAAAAGAAUUCUAUGCAGUUCUGAAAUACCACAAGAACGGUUCAUUUCCACAAAACUGGUAUUUUGCAAAUAAAAAAUUUAGUGAAAUUUACCUGGAACCAUUGUUCCAUACAGCUUUUAUCCACAAGGUGGCAUUCCUAACAGGAGUUUGCUAGACAUGGUCACUUGCAGUUUUUGAAUGGCUCUAAGUGAGAGGGAGUCAUAAGCAUUUGUAAUAUUAUAUGAGCUUUUUAUGUUUUCAUUUUUAUAAAGUGUAAAGGUAAUUUAAGUCAGAAACCUUAAUCAUAAUUAGGUUAAUACUCACCGAUGUGUGGAGUAUCGAGAAAUAUGUAAUGGUUCUAGGUUACAAAACAACAUUCAUUCAUGGCAUUAUAUGCUGCUAGAGACUUUUCAAUUGUAAAGCUGGAAUCAGUUUUGCUUUAAUGAAAGAGUCUAAAAUAAUAAUUUAAAAAUUCUUUAAAUCAAGAGCACAAAAAAUACCACGGUCUUCUAUGCAAACCCCAGUGUUUGGUGUUUUGAACAUGAUGUGGCAUAUGGAGCUUGUAGUGAGUUCUGGAUUAAGGAAGGGCAAAUAACAGUGUUUGUGGGAAAAAGCUGUAUAAAUUAUGUCUUGCUCUGCAGGGGAGGAUUUUUCAUAGUCUUAUGUUACAAUGACCAAGCAACUUAUUUUCAUAUGCCUGUCAUCCAGGUUGAUAACUGAGUCUGCAGGCAACUCUGCUUUUUUUUCAGGCUUUAUAAUUUUUUCAUUUUCUUGGAGUCUUUGUAUGCUAAAUUCAAAUACCUUGUUACUCUUUUUCUUUAAAUACAAGCAUGAAGGGAGUAUAAUACAACCUGCUAAACUAGUACAAGUACACUAGAUUUUACACAACAGGGAUUUUCUCCCCCAUGGUUAAGGUCCUGAUCUUACUUUGCUUUUUUUUCUGAUUCUGUAAGAUCAGACCUUAGCUAAGUAAUCAUUUAUAUUUCCAUUCUAGCUGGUGUCCUACUUGUAUUUUGGUUUUCAAAAAAAAAAAAGAUAUAAAGUUUGUGCUGAAACUGUAAUCCAAUGUAAAUUAUGGAAUUUUUUCCAAGUCAGUUUCGAGUCAACAGAAAGGAAUAUGAGUUUUUUGGUUUAUUGUUUUGUGGUAGCAAAACUUCUGUGGAGUGUUUUCUAAUGCAUGUGUACAUUUCCUUCUAAUGCCUCUGCUCCAUGUGCCAACCCCCACUGAUGCCUCAGCCCUCUGGGUUCGGUUCCUAUCACGUAACACAGCUGAAAGGACAGAGCAGCGGCUGCGCCACAGCUGACACUAAUGACACUCUUUGCUGAGUUAGUGGGCACUGUUUUGACAUUAAGCAGAUGUUCUUUUCCCUAACAUUCUGUUGUACCUCCAUCAUCUCUCAAAGAUGGCUCUGCAAAACAGAAUACAAAUUACUGUUCACUGAAAGCAAUUGUCAGUCAGAAAAACUCACUUUCAGAAUGAUCAAGCUGUGGUAGAACCUACCUGCUGCUUGAAUCUAGCACAAGGACUUUAGAGGCCAACCUGGGUUCGUAGUAUCUCAUGCUGAGUACCGGUAAAAUUUGAGGGCCUGAACAUAUCCUACAUGCCACAAAUGGUAAAGAAAUGUGGUGAAAAUUGCUAUUUCCAAGAUGUAGAAAUGGGUGGACAAAGAAAGUUAUAUAUAGUAAUUAUGAAGUGUUAAUGAGGAAGUAAAUUAUUUGUUGUUGUUGCCUUUCAAGUUAAGCUACACACUGAAUUUUCUUUAUAGUAGUUAGGCAUAGCACUAGGUGAGUAAAUGAGGGCAACAUUCCUCUGAGAAGAGCAAGAAAUCUGUCCCACAGAGAAUGUUUGAAAACAGAAAAAACAAAUGUACAAAAAAAAAAUCAAAUGUAAAGAAACAUUCUGUGCUCUGAUGGCUACCAUGUGGAAAGGGCUUAUUGUGAAGGAUGGUCUGUAGAUAGAACUGUACACAGCUAUACAAAGGAAAAGGGUAGUCAAAGUAAUGACUGGGUUCAGGGCCCCAAAAGUGCUGUAAUGUGUAGGUGUGAUGGACAUCACCAGGAGAAAUCAGUAGUCUGGAGCAUUGCUGAUGUUGCUUCUAGGACAUCUCGUGAUGUCGGCUCAGAUGGAUAUAUACUCCAACUCCCAGAAACAGGGGAAAGAAAUUAUGCUGGAUUGUCCUUUUGUCUAAGGGUGUCUCAGUUAUAUAAGUUCACAUAACCCAGCACUUGCAGGUAACGCUGUCAGAGAAAAAACAACAGUACUGACUGCAGACAAAUAAUAGUCCUCAUACUUCAUGAUGGAUCUGCAAAUUGCUUUUCUAGUACAAAGCACGUCAGGGGCUAAUUUGAUGCAGUUUAUUGUUUGCAAGAGGUGGAUUAUAAAUGUUUGGAAUUGCAUCUUAUGUAACUGCUGCUGGAUAAGCAUACGUAUGAGUAAGUGUGAACUGGGAAAGGAAAAUGUGAUACUGGGAACUGUAACCACAAGUAUUAUCACUUCCCAUAUGUAACAAACUUAUGCCUAGGGCAAGGAAGCACAAUUACUGACAGAAGCUGUGUUUGCUCAUGCAGGUGAUUUUAUUGUUCUAAGUGAUCUAUCACUCUGGCUAACAUUUUUUGAUGAAAGACUUUUCUGGAAUGAUUGUACUUCAAAAGAAAUUUGGAGUUGUUUACCUUCAAUAGAUGACCAGGUCUGCCUAUUGAAAAUGUUAGAUUUAUAAAGUACUUUCAUGUGGGUUUUAAAUUGGUGGAAGACAAAGGUUUGCUUCCCCAUGUUAGUCACAUUAUCUGUUUCAGUCUCUCACUUCCUCAGUCUCAGAAAUCUACAACUACACAUUUGAGAAACUUAUCAGAUACUUAACUAUUUAAUGUACUUCCAAAUUGUAUUGUUUUACUUUAUCUGUUAUCAAAAGCAUAUGCUGUAUUCUCUGAAUUUAUAUUUGGUGCUAAUGAUACACUGAUGAUUACUGAAAACAGAAAAACUGUCCUCACUUCCUUUACAAAAGGCAAAAAGAUGUUACAUUUUCAAACUGUUAAAUCUAGCUUUUAAGUUCUGAUUCCAGGAAGUGUGCAGCACCUGAAUUGCCAACAUCUUGUUCAUUGUGCUCCUGGGUCACUGAUGGUAAAGUUCUUACUUUUUAUGCAUUUAUAAUACUGUGAAAAGAGAUAGUUAUAAGUCCAGGUCUCUUCCUUCUCAGAAGAAUCUGAGUGUAAAACAGAGUUAUCCACUGUGUUACUUUGGCCUGACACUAGAAUUACUUGUAUUAAAGACAAAUCAAACCUAAUACCCAGUCAACCCCUGUUCAAAGUGCAGUGAUGAAGCUGAGCCAGAAGAGACUAAGUGCAAACCGAGCUUUUCAGCACUGUACAGGGCCAGUAUAAAAGCUAGUUAAAAACUACUUCACAAACUACUAAGAUCUCCCAGUAUCAAACAAAUUGCUACUCACUUCUGCAAAGCACAGCUGAUGGAAGAAAUAUAAAUCACGUUUUUUAAAAAAUCUGUCCAAAAUAAAAUUUCCCUUCUGUGAGUACUUAGCUUAUUGUGCUAAGCCUCAGGGUGAAGUGUGGGUCUCCCACCUCCCAUGGUGGUGGCUCUUUGGUCAGUCCAGGGACAGCAGAAGCAUCAUCUUCCUUUGUGAGGUUUUUUCCCUUGUAUUAAUUGCAUGAUCUGCUUCAUAAAUCAGCUUACAUUUAAAUGGAACAGCUUAAAAGUAAUUGUGCAGCUGAGCAACCGAUGAAUUAUUGUGCCUUAUGGCUACUGUGGCUGUGUGGGUAAGGACCAAAAAGACAAAAAUUGGUCUCUUUAACCUACAAUGUCCCUUAACUCUCCUCCAAUGAGUUUCCUGUCACUUUAAUUUAAGAAGUAUUUUGAUCACCUUAUGAAAGCAAUUCUGUGAUGCAUUUGUCUCCAGUUCCCCAGAAACAAUUGCCCAGUCCUGUGUUCCUAAAUUUCCUUCUGUAUGUUGCCUUUCCUUUUUCCAUUUUUGAUAGCUGUAUUAGAUGUUGUUAGGGAUGGUGCUGUGCAUAGAUCUCUUAAGAGGAUAGAUGAAAUAAGCAACAUUUGGAGUGCCAUUGAGACCACCUUGGUAAUUUCUUUUUGUUUGCAAAGCAGAUGUCUCUUUUGUGCACUCAAAUUCUUCACUGUCACCCAUUAUCAUUGUCAUUUUAGCAUAACUAUUUUUUAAUUCUCCAAGCCUUUUCAUAGGACAUUUUAAAAUUAGUCUUUGUAGGAUAAAUUUUGCUUUACAUUACAACUCAAAAUACCAGAAUCUUAAAAAUAAUCUUGUAAUAAGCAUUUUUGCUUAUUCUGCUUUAAUAGUUAAUGUAAUUAAGUUCCUUUCAGGCUGGUGCUUGGACUGCAAAUUGAGAGUUUUAUUUCCCUUUUGGAAUCAGGUACCCUUUGAAAUGUUCAUGCUGAAGUUCAACAAACUGUGUUGUCACUAUACUUCUUUCAGCAGAAUUUUAAAAAUUUUAAAAAUUUAAUUUUUAUUGUUAUUAAAUUAAAAUUUUUUAAAAACUGCCAUGAGUUCUGACUGGAAGGAAAAGUGUAUGUAUGUAUGUAUCAACUUUCAGUGGAAAGGAAAAUCAGAAGACAGGAUUUUGUUAUUAUAACUUUACCUAGGAGGAGAAGAUGUCUGUGUGGAUAUUUGAGAAGCUUAUAUUUUUCUCAGAAAGCUUGAAAGUGGUGAUUUUUGCAAGAUUUCAGAUUGAUUAGGGGAUGCUGGUUUUUUUCCUCCACCUUACUCCUACCCAAAUUCAUAAAUGAAUGAUAAAAAAAUUUUUAAAAUCAGACUUCACUAUGUAUUAAGUUAAAAGUGGGGGAAAAGAGCAACAAAAAUCAGAUCCAGAGUAAUCUCAGAAGCUGGACACAAUUCUGCUGAGUGUCUAUAAAUUAAAGCCCAAGAUUGAAAUUCUGACUCUUUAAACAAUUCCUUUAACCAUGGCCAUGACUAAGGCUUCCUAGCCUUAAUAUCUUACUAUAAAAGUGGUGCUGUAGUUUUCUUGAGAGAUUUGUGUAAAAGCCUGCUGCAGUGAGGCUAGGUACCAGGGAAACAGCUUUUUGGGAGGGGCAGAGAGGAGUGCUCCUACUUUUUGUCUGCAAUAAUUCUGAGCUAAAAGAGGAAGAAAGCAUUACAAAUUUUGUUUAAACUUUUUUAUUCAAAAAUUGUGUUUAACAUGGAAUGAGGAAUUAUAGUUUAGCAGUCUAUCUGAAGUUGUAUGAUUUUGUGUAUACAUGUGUAUAUAUAAUGUACAUGCCUACAGAUUGUGUAUGUAUAUGAAUUUGUUGUGUGCAUGGAAUAUCAUGCUCAGUGGAUCAUUGUGAGCUGUCUUGACUGGUGCAUCUCAGAUCAUGUGUUGAAAGAGAUGUGCAUCCCCAUGAAGAAAGAGCUCCCUGUGGGUACCAGUCUGCUGCAUCAUCACAUCCAGAUGGGAUCCGGCCCAUGCAGUUGUCCUUCCUACUCAAUGCAAGUUUGAUGUAACAGAGGGACCACACAACUUCUCUGAGCUGUGCUGUCAGGUUCAGGGCUUCUGUAGCCCAGGGCUCCAGCUGGCCUUGGCCCUUGGCUGGUUUUGUGCAGCUCUGUUGCCUGACCUUGGUUCACUGUCAUUGAGGAAGCCGUCGCUGAGUUCUGAGAAUCUGUAAACUGAAACCAUGCAAGACAAAAAAAAAUAAAAACAAGCAGAACUGAACAUGCUGAGCUGGGAACGUUGUCUCGGGGAUUGGGGAAGAAUACUGACACAGAAUCUAAAAGUCUAAGGAAGAAAGCAAAGACUUAGAAGAUGGCACCUCUGCAGCUGUGAGAACUUGUACUGAUUUACUGGGAUAUUUUGACAUGAAUGAAAGACAUUUCUUAUUAAAGUGUGCUAUGCCAAUAAAAAGCAACAGAAACCAUA